UCCCCGGCGAUGCUGGUGCUCGGGGUUGCGGCCUGCCUCUUUCUUGGCGCGCUGGUGUACGCACUCGCGUCUGUACGGGCGCAGCGGCAGAGGCUGCAAAGGCAGCAAGCACGACCACCAGCAGAGACCAGC
rnacentral:SRP_RNA from 1 species